rnacentral:rRNA from 1 species
GGCGUGGGGGGAUCUCUAGUGCAGGUAGAUCGCUGAGGAUGAGCUUGCUCUUUCCGGAUGAGUUGCGAACGGGUGAGUAACGCGUAGGUAACCUGCCUGGUAGCGGGGGAUAACUAUUGGAAACGAUAGCUAAUACCGCAUAACAGUAUAUAUCGCAUGAUAGCUACUUGAAAGGUGCAAUUGCUCCACUACCAGAUGGACCUGCGUUGUAUUAGCUAGUUGGUGAGGUAACGGCUCACCAAGGCCACGAUACAUAGCCGACCUGAGAGGGUGAUCGGCCACACUGGGACUGAAACACGGCCCAGACUCCUACGGGAGGCAGCAGUAGGGAAUCUUCGGCAAUGGACGGAAGUCUGACCGAGCAACGCCGCGUGAGUGAAGAACGUUUUCGGAUCGUAAAGCUCUGUUGUAAGAGAAGAACGAGUGUGAGAGUGGAAAGUUCACACUGUGACGGUAUCUUACCAGAAAGGGACGGCUAACUACCUGCCACCAGCCGCGGUAAUACGUACGUCCCGAGCGUUGUCCGGAUUUAUUGGGCGUAAAGCGAGCGCAGGCGGUUAGAUGAGUCUGAAGUUGAAGGCUGUGGCUUAACGAUAGUACGCUUUGGAAACUGUCUAACUUGACUGCAAGAGGGGAGAGUGGAAUUCCAUGUGUAGCGGUGAAAUGCGUAGAUAUAUGGAGGAACACCGGUGGCGAAAGCGGCUCUCUGGCUUGUAACUGACGCUGAGGCUCGAAAGCGUGGGGAGCAAACAUGAUUAGAUACCCUGGUAGUCCACGCCGUAGACGAUGAGUGCUAGGUGUUAGACUCCUUUCCGGGGUUUAGUGCCAUAGCUAACGCAUCUACAGCACUCCGACUGGGCAGUACGAGCGCAAGGUUUGAGGCUCUAGGGAAUUGACGGAAUGCACUACGUGCUGCCGCCCUGACAAGUUCGAGCAUAU